AUUGAACGCUGGCGGCAUGCUUUACACAUGCAAGUCGAACGGCAGCGAGGAGAAGCUUGCUUCUCUGUCGGCGAGUGGCGAACGGGUGAGUAUAGCAUCGGAACGUGCCAAGUAGUGGGGGAUAACCAAACGCAAGUUUGGCUAAUACCGCGUAAGCUCUAAGGAGGAAAGUAGGGGACCUAAAUAAGGCCUUACGCUAUUUGAUCGGCCGAUGUCGGAUUAGCUAGUUGGUGGGGUAAUGGCUCACCAAGGCAAUGAUCCGUAGCGGGUCUGAGAGGACGAUCCGCCACACUGGGACUGAGACACGGCCCAGACUCCUACGGGAGGCAGCAGUGGGGAAUUUUGGACAAUGGGGGAAACCCUGAUCCAGCCAUGCCGCGUGUAUGAAGAAGGCCUUAGGGUUGUAAAGUACUUUUGUUAGGGAAGAAAAGCUAGUUUUUAAUAAAAAGUAGUGAUGACGGUACCUAAAGAAUAAGCACCGGCUAACUACGUG
rnacentral:rRNA from 1 species